AGUCAAAUAAAAACUCAUUGGCUAUUUUUAUAUAGCUUUAAAAGGAUAGAUUUUGGUUUUUUUCCCUAUAAAUUUUGCUCCCACACUCUCUCAAUCUACGCAGCUGUUAGCUUUUGUGAAGUUCUGGUCUCUGGCUCCAGAUUGAUGCUGAAAAGCGCAAAAACACUAGCAUGGAAAAAAAUUUAAGGAUGUCAUUGGCCACUUGUUUGAUCUUAAUAUUUUUGUUGUUGUCUUGUUUUGUUAGUGAUAGGAAGAAACAUCAUUGCACUGUUAGUAAGGCAAUGUUUUCGUGAGAGGGAGAAACCUAUGUAGUUUAAAGACUUUUAUUUAGUGGCAUGUAUUAAAGUGCGAAAAUAAUGUUGUCUAUUAAUUUUUGUUGAACUUCUUCUGUUGAUGCAGAUAUUAAUGUAUGGACUUUUAGUCA